rnacentral:rRNA from 1 species
UACGGGGGGGGCAAGCGUUGUUCGGAAUUACUGGGCGUAAAGGGCGUGUAGGCGGCCAACUAAGUCCGACGUGAAAUCCCCAGGCUUAACCUGGGAACUGCGUCGGAUACUGUAUGGCUUGAAUCCGGGAGAGGGAUGCGGAAUUCCAGGUGUAGCGGUGAAAUGCGUAGAUAUCUGGAGGAACACCGGUGGCGAAGGCGGCAUCCUGGACCGGUAUUGACGCUGAGGAGCGAAAGCCAGGAGAGCAAACGGG